rnacentral:misc_RNA from 1 species
GAUGAAGAACGCAGUGAAAUGCGAUAAGUAAUGUGAAUUGCAGAAUUCAGUGAAUCAUCGAAUCUUUGAACGCACAUUGCGCCCUCUGGUAUUCCGGGGGGCAUGCCUGUUCGAGCGUCAUUAUAACCACUCAAGCUCUCGCUUGGUAUUGGGGUUCGCGGUUCCGCGGCCCCUAAAAUCAGUGGCGGUGCCUGUCGGCUCUACGCGUAGUAAUACUCCUCGCGAUUGAGUCCGGUAGGUCUACUUGCCAGCAACCCCCAAUUUUUACAGGUUGACCUCGGAUCAGGUAGAGAUACCCGCUGAACUUAAGCAUAUCAAUAAGCGGAGGA